CGCUACAAUAUUUAAAAACACACACACUCCCCUAAAAAACACACACACACACACAAAAAAAAUGUCGUCUCCUUCACUAGAAAACCACCUCAUAGUACCCUCUGAAUCAAACACUUUUACGGUGACAUUUCUUAAGAAGUUAUGCAACCUUUUUACCUUCAACAUAUUGCAACAAAACAAUCUGCACUAGAACCAAUCUGCAACAAGCACAAUUUGUACAAGACAUAACAUAUUUUCAAUUUUCCGAUCCUAAUCUCACUAGAAAACCACGAUCAUGCCCUAAUUGCGCUGCCCACCCAAUUCUUUGAAUCAAUUCCCCAACCCCCAAUUACACCGCCCACAAAAUCACUCAUCUUUGUGAUGAUGGGGUCUCAAUCAUCUUGCUCAACAUCGAUAAUUUGUAUGAAUACGUCAUGCCCCAAUUACAUUGCCCAAUUGCGCUGCCAUGCCUCAAUUGCGUCGCCAUCGCUAUGCCCCCACCACGAUGCCCAAUCGCGCCGCCACCGCCAUGUUCCACUGUUUGAAUCAACAUAGAGGUGUUGUCGUCAGCAUUUGGGGGAUCGAUUCAAUGAAGAAGAAAAAGGGUAAAAUUGUAUAUGUUAUAACAGUGAGGGAAUAUUGUUUAGAUGAGAAAACAUAUUUGAGGCUCAUUGGCAGAUCUAUUUACUGAAGCUAAACAUUAUUUUUCUCACAUGAUCAAAUAACACACAAGCCCUUGUGUUUAGCUAUAUAUAGGAUA
rnacentral:lncRNA from 1 species